AAUCAACGCUGGCGGCGUGCCUCAGACAUGCAAGUCGAACGCGAAAGUUUCCUUCGGGGAACAAGUAGGGUGGCGCACGGGUGAGUAACACGUAGGUAAUCUACCUUUGGAUGGGGAAUAACAACCGGAAACGGUUGCUAAUACCGCAUAAUGCAGCGGCACCUAAUGGUGACAGUUGUUAAAGCGGGGAUCGAAAGACCUCGCGUCUGAGGAGGAGCCUGCGGCGGAUUAGCUAGNGGUAAGGUAAUGGCUUACCAAGGCGACGAUCCGUAACCGGCCUGAGAGGGCGGUCGGUCACACUGACACUGACAUACGGGUCAGACUCCUACGGGAGGCAGCAGUCGGGAAUUUUGGGCAAUGGGCGAAAGCCUGACCCAGCAACGCCG
rnacentral:rRNA from 1 species